GCGCAAUUGGUCUAGUGGUAUGAUUCUCGCUGUCAGUAUCCCCCAGAAUCAUGUCCUGUAAUGAGCACAACUAACCUCCACACAGUAGGGCUUACUCUAAGCAUAAAUGCGAGAGGCCCCAGGUUCGAACCCUGGAUUGCGCC